AGUGGAGGACACACUUUAAACUUCAUGGAAGAGGGAAGGGGAGAUGGUGCGAUGCAGAGUGAGGCUCAGAGAACAUCAGGAUGAUGUUGAAUUGACCAAUAGCAGUGGAAAGGGGGAGAUGAGCGGCGUGUACUCGGACACCGCACAUCAGCAUUGUGGACGACCCGCACCGUUACUCACCUUGACUCCUCACACUCACAGAAAGGAUCUGCUGUGAGAAAACGAUGGAAAAAUGAGGGCGAGACAGAAGUUACACAAAACAGCUUAAGAAGCUAUUAAUUGCUCAUCCAGGAAAUCAGAAAAGCGCAAACGUUUCUCUAGACUGUUAACAGCCUCGGAGCCUCCGCCAAAAUGCAGACUAAUAAUUUCACUUUACUUUCACUCGUUUUACUUUUUCUCCUCGAUGGUAUGAAUGAAAUCGAGGGUGUUUUAGAGAGUCCUGAAAUCAGCGUGAAUCCAUCUUCAGUGUCUGAGGGACAGUCUCUCAGGGUCACCUGUGAGGCCCCUUCAUAUCAAAGAAGUUUCCAGUGGUUUCUGUACAGAAACACAGAGGACAGUCCCUUCAUGAAAGGCACAGACUCUGGGAGUAUGUGUGACUUCACAGUCACUGGGACAAAGCUUCUUCAGGGAAAAACAUCCAAUGGAAUUUACACUGCUGUGGAGCUCAGCUGUGAGUACAGGGAUGGAGCCACUAGCUCUCAGAGGAGUAAAAGGAUGGAAGUCAAAGUGCUGGGUUCAUUGCAACCUCCCCAUCUGAAUGUCAGCUCCACUAACACCACAAAGACAGACUCAGUGCAGCUGAGCUGUGAGACUCCUCAGUCUGUCUCAGUGUCUCGUUGUCAGUUCCUGUCGGAUGGACAAACUGUCGGGGAGACGUCUUCACCCUGUCGGCGCUCCAUCACCGGGACUCAGCUGCUCAGGGGGACGAUCCACUCUGGCGACGCUCAGAUUGUAGUUCAGUGUCUGUACACUGCGGACAUAAAUGGGAUUAAUAUACCAUCACCAUCACCGCGCAGUAACAGUAUCACAGUGACAGUGACGGGGUUCCCGAUGAACUCCACAUCCGAUCCAGUGUCCACAACAAGUAAUCCAAGAUCAAAUGGGUUUAUAUGUCUUCACAGAUCUCUUACAUACUGAAUUAACGUAAUUAAGGGGUAACUAAUAGUAAUUGAUCACAUUUUCACUGUUUUGUUCCUCUCUGGUAGAUCUGACAGCUGUGAUCAAUGUGAGCAGCACAUUACUGCCUGAAAAUAGCUUUGUCGGUGUUACCUGUGCUGCUCCACGCACGGUGCGAGAGGCCACCUGGAGGCUCUACAGAGACGCACAUACAUCUCCGGUCCUCACACGGACUGGGAAGGGGAAUCUAUUUCGGUUCUCAGUGACUAGGAGGAACCUUCUUCAGGGAGAAACACACACUGAUGCGUACACUGUUGUACAGCUGAGCUGUGAAUACACUGAUAGCGACUCAAACACCGUCUCUCAGCGGAGCAGCAGGCGGCAGAUGAUGGUCCUGGGUAAGACGGGA
rnacentral:lncRNA from 1 species